ACGCCGAUGGUGAAACGGUUAUCAUGCUUGUCUUCCAUGUGGGAUCCCGGAUUAUGUACUUGAGCAAGUGGUAAGGGUUCGACUCCCUUUCAGCGUA